rnacentral:rRNA from 1 species
CAGCAGCCGCGGUAAUACGUAGGGGGCAAGCGUUGUCCGGAAUUAUUGGGCGUAAAGCGCGCGCAGGCGGUUUUUUAAGUCUGGUGUCUAAGUGCGGGGCUCAACCCCGUGACGCACUGGAAACUGGGAGACUUGAGUGCAGAAGAGGAGAGCGGAAUUCCACGUGUAGCGGUGAAAUGCGUAGAGAUGUGGAAGAACACCAGUGGCGAAGGCGGCUCUCUGGACUGUAACUGACGCUGAGGCGCGAAAGCGUGGGGAGCAAACAGGAUUAGAUACCCCAGUAGUCCCUGUCUCUAUACAC